rnacentral:rRNA from 1 species
UACGUAGGGUGCGAGCGUUGUCCGGAAUUAUUGGGCGUAAAGAGCUCGUAGGCGGUCUGUCGCGUCGGAUGUGAAAACCCGGGGCUUAACCCCGGGCCUGCAUUCGAUACGGGCAGACUCGAGUGUGGUAGGGGAGACUGGAACUCCUGGUGUAGCGGUGAAAUGCGCAGAUAUCAGGAAGAACACCGGUGGCGAAGGCGGGUCUCUGGGCCACUACUGACGCUGAGGAGCGAAAGCGUGGGGAGCGAACAGG